CCUAAAAACAACAAUGGCUUCUCGGAAUUCAUAGAGCUACUGUCACCUCCAUUAAACAAAAACAAACCAGAACAACCUACAGAACCAAUCUUCAUCACUUACAGCCGCAAAUCCCAACAUCAUCUAGCCACCAUUAAAGCACAAAAUUCCUCAUCAACACCACCAGAACAACAACCUACAGAAUCAACGAAUGAAACCGCCACAACUCCGAUAGGGUUCGGGUCCGUGUCGACGUCAUCUCCGGCGAAGAAACAGAAAGGAAAAAAGGAAAGAUCUAGAAUUAUUCGACGAGAACCGGUUGAAGCACCUAAGUUUGUUACUCAACAGAAGGAACAAAGGGCGUCGGAUGAGCAGCAGGGGAGCAACGAGCGUGCUUUUCUUCUUAUGUGGUUAGGGUCAGGUUCGUUCAACAGAAGGAACAAAGGGCGUCGGAUGAGCAGCAGGGGAGCAACGAGCGUGCUUUUCUUCUUACGUGGUUAGGGUUAGGUUCGUUGAUUUUUGUUGAGGGGAUUGCUCUAGCUGCUUCAGGAAAAAGGCUCAUCAGAGAUUGUGUGUAAAGCUAUGGGUAUAGCCAUCGACAAGACUGUUACAAUUGUGGAAUUAAUAAAGAGGCGAAUUGUUGGCCUUCAUCAAAUUACAUCCAUUGGAUCCACAGACAUAACCGACACAUGGGAAGCCCUAGAGGAAGGAUUACUUCCCCUGGAGACCACAAGGCAUGUUUCAAUGAUAACUAUAACACUUUCCAAGGCGGAGUUGAAUACGUCAUCUAUCGGGUAUCAACCGCCAUUGCCAGAUGACCAGGUGAAGGUGUCAACUGAAUUUGAAUACAUUCCAUUAGGAAAACGGGAUUCUUCAGUUGAAAGACUUAAAACCCCAAAUAUUUGUACUUGGCUGUGUCCAAAGAAGUGGUCUUGUUGAGAGUGGUAAAGAUAAUAUGUACGUGAGGCACACUUGUUUUGCCAAAACACUUGUUAAGCGGAGGUUUUCUGUCAGUUUGAUUGGGAUAUGGAUGAACUUGAGGAGUUCACUAAUGAGCGAAUUUUUGCGGAUGAGUUGUCUGAAGAUCAGAGGGAUGGCUUCAAGGAAUUUGCCAGGGAAAAGGUUCGAGAAAGAAGGAGAGCUAAUUUCGUAAGAUGAGAGUGACAUGUUUGGUUUUAUGGAUCACCAACUGCAAGGGGCAGGGGCCGUGGUGGAAGGGGAAGGUCUAGAGCUGCAUCAGGUUUCAUUAGUUUCACAAUUAUUCACCUAUUUAAUAAUCUGUAAAGAGUAAAAUGCCAUUUUGGUCGGUUUAGCCAGUUUUGCAACUUUUGUGCAAAGGUUUGUUUUUUCGCAUAUGAACACGUAUUUAUAGGCACAUAACAACGAAAAGGUACGUUCACGAACAUGUUAAAAAUGACACAUUUGGACACGUAUUUAUAGGCACAUAACAAAAUUUGUUAAUUACUAUAAAUUCAGAUCAUAUUAAACAUCUGUCUUUUUAACAGAUCAACAUGACAGUGGCAGUGGAGGAUGUAUAUACAACAGGUCAACAUGACAAGACUCCAGACGCACAUUUUAAGGUAGUGGGAAUACAACCAGUUAACUUGGCAAACGAGUUGGACCAUUUGAAGCAAUAAAAAACAGAGAAAUUAUGACCGCUUGGGCUGCUAUGCUUAACUACGAAGAGAAGUACAAGAAACCGGUAACACCAGCAAGACUGUUCUGCAAUGCUGGGAUGCUGGUAUGACUUGAUUUUACUUUCACAUUUUAUAAAUAAAAAUAUAUAAGACCAUUAGCAUUAAGUAUAGUAUUAUUUGACCAACUCUUUAACCCAUAGUUAAAUCCAAACAAUAAAGCUCUUUAAGUUGCCAUUGCCAGUAAUUAGUUUAAAAACCAAAUCUAGUAUCUUCUAAUUUGAUCGAAAAUCUACUUGCGUGAAAUAUUGUUACAGCUUAGAGACAUUCGAAGAGAUUCUGUCUCUAGGCCAGAAGAGGAGCCGAGUUUUUGAAGACAUUGUAGUUUAAUUUGUGGCUGUAAAUUGCUGCCUUGGUUCAACGUAUAACCCAGCCUUUCAUGCUGCUAACAACAUUGUGCUUUAUUAUGAUCUUGCUUUUCAAUUUAUUAUGUGUUUGUUUGCAAUUGAUGGCUCACUGUUGUUGCUUUUGGCAUUAUAAGAUUAUCAUGGGUGGAUGUAAGUCUGCAUUCGCGUGUUCUCCUCUGCUACGUCAGGAAAAUCGUGUGAAUCUGCUGUUUCUGUUUUGGUAUUUGCUGGUGCUGCAUGUUGGAUUAAUUUGCCAUUUGUCGUUUAUACCUAAUUCAUGCAAUGCAUGAAGUAGCUACUGUAGAUGCUUAGGAUAUGAUAGUUUAUACCGUUUAUUUGCUAUUGGUCGUUUAUCUUUGAUUCUUUAUCUACUUUAUUUCAUUUUUAUCGAGUUCUUUGAUUUUCAUGAUACUUACCACCAUUGGCCCAACUAGUUUAUUAUGGGUACUUUGAUUUUGGGUCUGAAUUGACAAACAUUUGUUUAUCCUACAGGCUAAUCCAAAAUUUGAUUUGAAUAUUAGUUAAGAUGACGUGGAAGACAAGUGUUCCUACUAUGGACGGGUGAAGAAUAUAUAUGGACUUGAAGAAAACAGUCUUGAAAUAGUUAUUAGUUUAUGUGUAAAGUCAUUUUCCUUUAUAACUUUUGUAGAUAGGUUUUAAUUAGAAGUUGAUGUUUAUAAUUAGUAUUACUAUUUAAAUUAAAAACUUAUGUAUGGAUUUUGGGUUAUUAUUGUUAGUAGCAUUUGGUUUUUAGUUUUCUCA